AGGAUUUUAAGUUAUAUAAACUAAAAGCCUUCAAAGCUUUAAAAAAAAGUCUUUCCUUUUAAAUCCUA
rnacentral:tRNA from 1 species